UACAGAGGUCCCAAGCGUUGUUCGGAUUCACUGGGCGUAAAGGGUGCGUAGGUGGUGGGGUAAGUUUGAUGUGAAAGCUCCGGGCCUAACCCGGAAAUGGCAUUGAAUACUAUCUCGCUUGAGGGUUGGAGGGGAGACUGGAAUUCUUGGUGUAGCAGUGAAAUGCGUAGAUAUCAAGAGGAACACCAGUGGCGAAGGCGAGUCCCUGGACGACUCCUGACACUGAGGCACGAAAGCUAGGGGAGCAAACAGG
rnacentral:rRNA from 1 species